rnacentral:rRNA from 1 species
AUACAUGCAAGUCGAACGAGUUCUCGUUGAUGAUCGGUGCUUGCACCGAGAUUCAACAUGGAACGAGUGGCGGACGGGUGAGUAACACGUGGGUAACCUGCCCUUAAGUGGGGGAUAACAUUUGGAAACAGAUGCUAAUACCGCAUAGAUCCAAGAACCGCAUGGUUCUUGGCUGAAAGAUGGCGUAAGCUAUCGCUUUUGGAUGGACCCGCGGCGUAUUAGCUAGUUGGUGAGGUAACGGCUCACCAAGGCGAUGAUACGUAGCCGAACUGAGAGGUUGAUCGGCCACAUUGGGACUGAGACACGGCCCAAACUCCUACGGGAGGCAGCAGUAGGGAAUCUUCCACAAUGGACGCAAGUCUGAUGGAGCAACGCCGCGUGAGUGAAGAAGGCUUUCGGGUCGUAAAACUCUGUUGUUGGAGAAGAAUGGUCGGCAGAGUAACUGUUGUCGGCGUGACGGUAUCCAACCAGAAAGCCACGGCUAACUACGUGCCAGCAGCCGCGGUAAUACGUAGGUGGCAAGCGUUAUCCGGAUUUAUUGGGCGUAAAGCGAGCGCAGGCGGUUUUUUAAGUCUGAUGUGAAAGCCCUCGGCUUAACCGAGGAAGCGCAUCGGAAACUGGGAAACUUGAGUGCAGAAGAGGACAGUGGAACUCCAUGUGUAGCGGUGAAAUGCGUAGAUAUAUGGAAGAACACCAGUGGCGAAGGCGGCUGUCUGGUCUGUAACUGACGCUGAGGCUCGAAAGCAU